rnacentral:snRNA from 1 species
GGCAAGGGCGAUCUGGCUGCGACAUCUGUAACCCCAUUGAUCGCCAGGGUUGAUUUGGCUGAUCUGACUGACUAGGCGGGUUUCACCCUCCCCCCUCACCGCUCCAUGUGUGACCCUCCCAAAGCUGCGUGCUGGGUUGAAGAGAACGGCCUUCCCCAAUAGAGACAGACCAGUCUUUGGUCGAAGCUAUACAAGUAGCUGCGCUCCCCUGCUAGAACCUCCAAACAAGCUCUCAAAACUAAGAAUAAGCCCUAAAAAUUAUGUCCCUCACUCCCCUGUCUAAAGUGAGAGAAAUUAGAAUACACAAAGAG